UACGAAGGGGGCGAGCGUUGUUCGGAUUUACUGGGCGUAAAAGGCGCGCAGGCGGUCAUUUUUGUCGAGUGUGAAAGCCCCGGGCUUAACCUGGGAACUGCGCUCGAAACGGGAUGACUAGAGAUCGGGAGAGGAGAGUGGAAUUCCCAGUGUAGAGGUGAAAUUCGUAGAUAUUCGCAAGAACACCAGUGGCGAAGGCGGCUCACUGGCCCGGUACUGACGCUGAGGUGCGAAAGCGUGGGGAGCAAACAGG
rnacentral:rRNA from 1 species